UACAGAGGUCUCAAGCGUUGUUCGGAAUUACUGGGCGUAAAGGGCGCGUAGGCGGCCUGCUAUGUCGAACGUGAAAUCCCCGGGCUCAACCCGGGAACUGCGUCCGAAACUGGCAGGCUUGAAUCCGGGAGAGGGAUGUGGAAUUCCAGGUGUAGCGGUGAAAUGCGUAGAUAUCUGGAGGAACACCGGUGGCGAAGGCGGCAUCCUGGACCGGUAUUGACGCUGAGGCGCGAAAGCCAGGGGAGCAAACGGG
rnacentral:rRNA from 1 species